CUUCCAACUUUUGCUAAAUUGGAUUCUGGGGAUUUAAGAGUCCAGCGCAAAGGCGUCUUAUGCUGACCUUUUGGCCUGCUAUUGGUGAGCGCAAGUACGACUGGGAAGGAAGCAGCAUUUUGGUUUGUCACCGACAGAAGUUGGGUCUUUGAUAAGCAGGG